UGGGAAGGGCUGCUCCUACUCUGUGUC
rnacentral:piRNA from 1 species